UGGGAGCUUAACCAUUGGAAGCCUGGCCA
rnacentral:piRNA from 1 species